AGUCCCAUCUCCUUUAACCACCCUCACCCCCCCACCUCUGCCCUUCCAUGAGCCAGGAGGACCAUAUAGCACCUCCUGCCUCUGCCUACAGGAGCCUUUCAAGAAAUGACAUGCUAGAGCACUCUCAUCUUCCUUGGAUGGUUAAUUUCUCUGUACUUCAGGUAUUGCUUCUUGCUAUCUUGUCCCUUGUUGGUCUACUGAUAUCUCAGGUGCCAGUGUGGUGGUGGCGGUGGGUCCUGGAGCACAACUAGCCUGAAGGUGACUCCUAACCCAGCUCACUUACAGACUGUUGUGUAUGUGUGAGGAGUCUCUGGCUUCUGUUUCUCUCUGAGAAGUUACAGCCCUUUGGGAAGAUUUUUAUUUAAUAUAAGAUAUUUUCAGUGCGUGGUUCAUUUCCAAACAAACCAAACCAGAAAAGCCUGAACAGAGCUGAAGCUGGAAUCUAAGUCCAAGUUAAUGAAGCUGCCUCAAAGUUGAGGAGGAAGAGAAUAAACUACAGCUCUGAGGCACAGACCACUGGAGAUUCCUCCUUCAAACCCUGCCUUUGCCGCUCACUGGAGUUAUUUGAUUUGGGAACAAGAUAAGAAUUCACAAUAUCUGAUUUGUAGAAAUAACCUGGAGGAAGGAAAAACAAUCAGAAAUAUUAAUUUCAGAUAUAAUUUUAAUCUCUCAGUUUCCUAAUAGUCUUUCCCAGCUCUAAUAACAUUAACCAAAUAUGAAGUCCAGACUUUGGGGAAGUUGUGUACUGACUGACAAAUACAUCUCCAAAUAGUCCACAGUUCAGCGCUUCUUAUUCUGUUAAUACUCCGUGACCAGGAAAGGUUCGGAGCAUAAUUCUCUUCCAGUUAUUCAUGUUCUCCCUUUCUCAUUUUUUUUUUCUCCCAGCAAGAAAUACACCUGGAUAUUCAUUGUGUGCAAACUGUUGCAGUUCCUUGUGGUAACCUGCAAAUCAAACUAAUAGAGCAGAAGAACUGCUGUCACACCAAGGGCUGUACAGCCAAAUGCAGGUGUUAUGGCUGCUAUUGCCCCUAAGAGAUGGGGUGUGAGGAACAAUUCAGCCUGCUUGAUAGUCAGGUCUACCCAGUCCUUGGCUAGAGUUGAUAGAGAAAAGUACCCAGCAUCCUUAAAUUAGGCAAAGUCUUUGCUAUAAAUGUCUAACAAUGGCAGUGGAGCAAUUCUAAUUAUUGGCUGUACAGGUGUUGUCUUUCUUCAGUGCUGGUAACAUAUCCUUGUAAGGCAGUGGGCAUAUAUUUAUGGCUCACUUUUUCACACACUCAAAAUUUGGGCUUCAGAUUUGUAUUGAUUAAAGUCAGAGUGGUGUGUGUGAGGGUAGGGCCACUGUGCAGUUUAUCCAUUGUGUCACCCCAGGAAGCAGUGGUGCAGCCAGGGUGUUUGGUGUGUUCCUUGAUGGUGACCCCCUACAGCCAAGGAGGACCAGGAGGCAGCUACAGACAAACCAAGGAAGGUUUGUGGGGUGGAUAUGUGUCCUACAGAAAACAGUGGGAGGGGAGACCAUGGCUUCCCAAGCUGAACACACUGUGGAUAUUGCCUGUGGUGACUGUAGUCACACCCUUGCUCUGAAAAUGAGACAUCACUUCCUCUUCAAAGGUUCAGAUGCCUGUGCUGCCUGCAGCUACACAUUCAAAAUUUCAGCUUCAAAUUUUGUGUUGAUUACAAUUAUUUAUUAGUAUUAAAUUUUAAUAAUUAUUCUAGAGUCUUGUUCUGCAUGCCUUCACAAGAAUUUAAUUGUCUUCAGCAGGCCAUUUUAAUACGUUAGUGUUUUAGCAUGUAAUCAUAAUAAUUUAUUGUGUUAAAGUGUUGAGACUGCAGCUAGGAGAAAUGUAUAUUUAGGCUCAUAAGAAAGGGAAAGCUUCAACUUGGAAUAUAGUUGAUUAUAAAAAUAAAAGAUAUCUCUAAUGUAGCACUUAUUUCUAAGCUUCCUGUUCCUAUUCCUGACUUUUUUCAUCAGCAUUUCUCAUAAUUUAUUCACAUCCAUGUACACAGUCCUUUGUUACUGCAUGAAAAACCUACACAAAUGUGGUUUACUGAUUACACAAAGGAGGAAGUGAAAUUCUUGUCAAAUGCUUAGAGAAAUCAAAUUAAAAGAGUUGUCAUUUUGUCUUACUGACUUAGUAUUGUUCCCUUUCAUAACAAAGGAUAAAAAUGUGAUUUUGAAAUGAUCGUGUUCCUUUGCAUGGUAUAUUGAUUUCUAUAUAGAUAUGCUUAUUUACACUGGCAGAAUCCUAGUUGCUUAUUCAAAUGCCAUCCUGCUAUGUCAUCCUGGUAGAGACAUAACGUUCUGUAUUUUUCAUGUGACCUUGUCUCAUCUGUAAAGCUCAAAUUUCAUUGCUACUCCAGGAAAGGUUACUGGUGAGAAACAUUUGAGCCUUAAAUGGAUUCUAAAAUUUGAAUAGGACCCAUUUUUUUAUGUUAUGUUUGGACGAGGCUUAGGUCCAAACACCUCUGAAACUUUAGAAGAUUCAAACUUGGAUCUAGACUGAAUUGUGCAACUUAAAUCUAUUUCUAAUACAUAGAUAAUACCACGUGCAAAGAGCGUAAAUGCACACACACAUGUGUGCACACAUAUAGACACAACGUAUGUAUAUUGAUACAUAACCACGCAACUUGGUAAUACUUGGAAAUAAUAAGUGACAUACAUCUUUGACUGGAAUUUCACCAGUGUUGACUCUAUUUCCCAAAAGAAUUGAAAUUUUAAAAGGUUUUAAAUAAUUUCUUGAGUAGCUAAAGAAGUUACUGAUGGAAAAAAAAUCAAAGGAAUCAAUUGCAGUUUUUUGGAAAAGUUCUUUCAUUGUCCACGAGCUAGAUUUUAGAAAUUUUAAAAUGUUUAUUAGUUCCCUAUCAUUGUUCUGUACUGAGUUCAAUAUAGAUUCUGGUUUGAGUGGGACCAUAAUAAAAAGGAAAACCCUCUUUAUGUGGCUAAUGCAAGAUCAAUAAGUUUUGGAAGUAUGAAGCAGUGAUUAACAGGAGAAAGGAAAGGAUGUUGUGUAGGAUGGAUGGCAAACCAGGGAAUCAAAAUAUGGAAAUGAAGUAGACCUAGAAACAUUCUGGCUGUUUUGGAGAAAAUCACUGUCUAAUUUUCGGCUCUGCAGAAACAAAGGCAGGGUGGCCUGGAUUUGAAUCCUGUUUUACCAGCAAAUCCAGCCUUCAGGAUCGUUUGCAUAACUCAUUCCAGCUUUGGCUCAUGUCUGUUCUGAAUAAGCAGUUAAGCAGUUUGGGUAUUUUUCAGAUCCUUGUGGGCUGGCAGAGAAAAGAUAUGCAGCACAGAGGACUGAAAGAGAUGAUUUGUUUAACUUUUGCCAGCCUGUAUGGAUGCAUCUCCCUGAAGGCACUAGCGUCCAGCCACCCUCGCUCCCAGUACUGACUUGUGUACCAGGCAGAAAGUGCUGGUCUCACAGAGGGAAGAUGUUUUGUGCUCAGUGCUUCCAACUCCUAUUUACAAAGAAGCAAAAUGGAGCUGUGUCCUAAAAACUGGGAGUGCUCUGAACCUCGUGUGGGUUCCAGCUUGGCAAGAAGGGCUCCAGAGGACACAGGAAAAACAGAGAAAGCAGCCAAGUGUUAUAUGCCUCCCCAAAUCCUCGUUUAUAAGGUGGUGGUAAAUCCCUGCUGUAAUGCAGACUCUUCCUAUGAGAAUACCCAAAUGUGUAGUUAGCACACCAAAUCACAUGAGCCCACUUGCAUCAGCAGGUUUGUGACUGAAGCAGUUUUUUGCAUUUGUAUUUUUUCCAUAUGGAUGUGACUUCAGAGCAGAACACAAGCCUUUAAAAGGGAGAAAAACAUCCUUUGGCUUCAUUUUGUCUCUCAUCUAUGGACAUAUGCAAGUUUAAAAAUAUUUGACUGUGCUGUUGAGAAAGUGCAAGGCUGAUGUUCAUUGUUUUACAAGACAGAUAUUUGGUUAAUGCCAGAACUCCAAAGACGCAGACAAGACUGCACCCGCUUGGUGCAAAGUGCCCUGCAAAUGCAAGGUAUGAGACAGCUCCUGCCUUCUCUGCUCAUAACCUGCAAGGAGAGAGGAUACCAUGCCUGAGGCAAUGCAAGGGGAAAAGCUGAGAGCUCAGACCUUCCUUGCCUGAUAAACUUCGCUCUGGGUUGGUUACUGUUCUCCCACAGCAUCACUCUGCUGCACUAAUUGGGAUUAGGUCCCCCUGCACUUAAUGCUUCCUGAGCACAGAGGAGGAAGCAAACUCGGUCAUGAAAAGCUCAACAGUUGUAGCUGCUUAAUUGAUGGGGUUAUUUUAAAUCCAGUCAGUUAAAUUGCUACGGACACCCUUUAUUAUAGCCUAGGCAAUUUUAUUUCAAGUUAGCUUUAAUCAAUUAGGAAUUGAUUUUAGCUAAGUCAGUAUAAGAACAUCUGAUCUGGUUUAACAAAAUUGGUUUUAGAGAAGUGAAAUGGGUGCAGAUUCAGCAUAAGCUCAAGGAAGGCUUUCUCUUUUUGCUUGCUAAUGAUGAGGUAGAGGAUAUGCUGGUAAAACCCCAGAUGCUACAGAGCCUCAGCAGAUCGUAUGCCAAUCUUAAGUCUUGUGAAACAAAAUGCACAGAAAGGGAGAUAAGAGGGGGUUGCAUGAAUGAAGAACUCUCUUCACAGCAACUUGUGUACAACCAAAUCCUUGUCCUGACUGCACUGGUCACUGGAGGAGGUUUGGGAAUAGCAAGCGAUGCAAGCUUAGAGCUUGCUAGUUGUGCUCGCCCAGGCUGCAGCACCCCAUGCCACUGAGGCAGCAAAGCAUCUUGGUUUUGCUCUAAGUGUUUUAAUGCACUUGUUUUCUGGCGGAUUAGUGUUUUGAAGAGGUUUGGAAAGAUGCCUGAGCUGGAGGUACGGCAUGGAACGCUGCUGGGAGCCAGUGGAGGUAAGAGGAGGAAGCAGCAAUUCCAUUUCUUGGCAGAAGUGAGGCACUAAAUUGUGAAAACAGAAAUCACAGGAGAAAUGAGAACCAUCGAUGGGGAAUUUUGAGAUGCGACCAAUUUCUAAUGCUGUCUUGCCUUCAGGACUAUGAAAUAUUUCUGAGGUUGUAUGAUUCUUUUGAUGCUUUUUUCUCCAAAAGAUUAUUGUAGUAUUUUUACCAUACUGUAAAUUGGUACUAUGUUUAAAAAAAACCCAUCCUGUUAUCUUCAAUUUACUGCUUUUGUUUUUGUCAUGAUUGUUAUGAAUUCUCAUAUGGGAACUCUUUAUCAUUGAAUGUUGGAAUUUUUCAUUUCUAUUCUCAUAAAUGGCAGGAACAAAGCUACAGCAGUCAAGGACCUGCUAUUUCUGGUAUUAUCAGAAGAAAAAAGCAGUAUUUCUGCCUAGGACUUAUUUACUUUGUGACAGAACCGAUCCCAUGCUUGACUUCUUCUGUAGGUACAAAUAGUGUUAAUGAGGUGUUAAUGUGUAUGUAGGCGACACAAACAUGGAUUUGCCUUUGAUCAGUCUGUGUUAUUUCCGUUUUUUCUUGACUCUCUUUUUUAAUCUAACCUCGAAAAGCUGUUUGCACUAUGAGAGCCUGUUGACUUAACAGAAAUUUUUCUAGGAGCUGAAAGAACUUCUGAAAACAAUGUGUAGUGAAACUCCCACUGACUACAGUGGGGUCAGUAUUGUUCCUUUGAUUACAAUUGUUUGAAGAGCAAACACAUAUUCCCAAGGGUUUUCCUACAUGCAGUUUUUGUACUGCUUUAAAU